rnacentral:rRNA from 1 species
GACGAACGCUGGCGGCGUGCUUAACACAUGCAAGUCGAACGGAAAGGCCUCUUUCGGGGGGUACUCGAGUGGCGAACGGGUGAGUAACACGUGAGUAACCUGCCCUUGACUUUGGGAUAACUUCAGGAAACUGGGGCUAAUACCUGAUAGGAGCUCCUGCUGCAUGGUGGGGGUUGGAAAGUUUCGGCGGUUGGGGAUGGACUCGCGGCUUAUCAGCUUGUUGGUGGGGUAGUGGCUUACCAAGGCUUUGACGGGUAGCCGGCCUGAGAGGGUGACCGGCCAAAUUGGGACUGAGAUACGGCCCAGACUCCUACGGGAGGCAGCAGUGGGGAAUAUUGCACAAUGGGUGGAAGCCGGAUGCAGCAACGCCGUGUGCGGGAUGACGGCCUUCGGGUUGUAAACCGCUUUCGCUCAUGACGAAGCUUUGUGUGACGGUAGUGGGUAAAGAAGCACCGGCUAACUACGUG